CUGGGAGAGUCAUCUCAGCAGCAAGACAGCUGGAGGAAUAGACCCAUCCAUACUUGACGAUGAGUCAAAAUCAUGGUCACUGUUGAGGUAAAGGUGGAGGAAGCCUGAAUCCAUGUGAACCCUGUUGCUGCUCUGAACUGAACAAGAGGUGCUCGUAGAGGAUCAAAGUACUUCCGUGUUGGAUCAUUGCAUUGCAUCCAUUUAUCAGCUCCAGCAUCUACCUAAAAUAGGAAUGCAAAUGACAACCACAGAUUCAACAUGGGCAGCUGCUGGCACCAACA